rnacentral:misc_RNA from 1 species
GCGUCUGAUAGAGGGCCACGGGGUCUAUCAUCGACCCGAGUUUGGAGUCCCUGGAGCUCGGCCUCGGCGAGAUACGGCCGUUCAAAGUUCCACCUUCGGUGGGCGCUAUCUCCGGCCCCCUGGGGUGCACCGGCUCUGGGCUGGCGGCG